AACGCACAUUGCGCCCGCCGGUAUCCCGGCGGGCAUGCCUGUCCGAGCGUCAUUGCAACCCUCAGGUCCUCGCGCCUGGUGUUGGGGCCCUGCGCGGCAGGCCCCGAAAGACAGCGGCGGGUGCGUCCCGGAACCGAACGCAGUAGUUACCUCUCGUUCCGGCCCAGGGCGCGCUCCAGCCGUAAAGCGCUCCAACUUUUCUCAAGUUGACCUCGGAUCAGGUAGGAAUACCCGCUGAACUUAA
rnacentral:misc_RNA from 1 species